ACAAUAUUAGGACCUUCGGUCUACCGAGCAAUAUCACCCACUCGGUGGUAGAUCUUCCCAUUUUCUG
rnacentral:pre_miRNA from 1 species